rnacentral:rRNA from 1 species
UACGGAGGGGGCUAGCGUUGUUCGGAAUUACUGGGCGUAAAGCGCACGUAGGCGGCUUUGUAAGUUAGAGGUGAAAGCCCAGGGCUCAACCCUGGAAUUGCCUUUAAGACUGCAUCGCUUGAACAUCGGAGAGGUAAGUGGAAUUCCGAGUGUAGAGGUGAAAUUCGUAGAUAUUCGGAAGAACACCAGUGGCGAAGGCGACUUACUGGACGAUUGUUGACGCUGAGGCGCGAAAGCCAGGGGAGCGAACGGG